AGCGCCACUCGCAUCGUAGACGAGAUCGACCUCGACACUUUCGUGGAGCCUGCCAGUCCUGGCGACGCUUGAGAAAACUUUUAAGUCGGUAUGCCGAGUGUUACUUGUAUGAAACUUUGGCCACUGCUGUUGGCCGUCACAUUCGUGGUUCGGUGUGGAUAAGGUUGAUCUACACCGAACCGACUAUCUUUAAACCAACUUUGAAU
rnacentral:lncRNA from 1 species